rnacentral:RNase_P_RNA from 1 species
CGGGCGGGCCGGGUGAUCGCUGGUUCCGGCGGAUGGAGUGGCGAGGUAAACUCGCCGCUACAAACGUCGGGGCGGGAGGAAAGUCCGGACACCGUCCUGAGGCACGCUGGUCACUUUGCGGGCGUCUCUACGGGCGAUCGCGAAGUGGUUGGCGGAACUCUUGACAGGGCAACGCGCCUGAUAACGUCAGGGGGCCAGCCACGCAGGGUCUGCCGGAAGGCAGAGUUACACGCUUCGGCGUGUAGCGUCCCGACCAAGUCGGGGCGCGGUGCGGUUGAGCUACGGAAAGUGCCACAGAGAAUAGACCGCCGGCGGAGCGCAGCACGGUGGCAUCGCGCAGGGAAACCUGCGGGACGUCUUCGCAAUGCACGCAACGUUUGGCAAGGGUGAAAAGGUGGGGUAAGAGCCCACCGCUCCGGUGGUGACACCGGAGGCACGGAAAACCCCGCGCGGUGCAAGGCCAAAUAGGAGGGGAGAGCCGGCCCGGCUCGAUGAGUCAGCGUUCAUGAGGCCGACCGCUUCGCGGUCGCCACUCCAAUGAACGCGCUCCUUCCCGCGGUGGCGCAAGCCAUUGCGGAUGAAAACCCUCGGGUAGGCUGCUGGAGUCACGGUGCAAAUCGUGGCCUAGAGGAAUGAUCGCCGCAGCACGCGAGCCGUUUCAUGGCUUGCGCGCUGCACAGAAUCCGGCUUACAGGCUCGCCCGCCAA